rnacentral:rRNA from 1 species
UAGGGAAUCUUCCGCAAUGGACGCAAGUCUGACGGAGCAACGCCGCGUGAGUGAAGAAGGAUUUCGGUUCGUAAAACUCUGUUGUUAGAGAAGAACAGCGCAUAGAGUAACUGUUAUGCGUGUGACGGUAUCUAACCAGAAAGCCACGGCUAACUACGUGCCAGCAGCCGCGGUAAUACGUAGGUGGCAAGCGUUGUCCGGAUUUAUUGGGCGUAAAGCGAGCGCAGGCGGUCAAUUAAGUCUGAUGUGAAAGCCCCCGGCUCAACCGGGGAGGGUCAUUGGAAACUGGUUGACUUGAGUGCAGAAGAGGAGAGGGGAAUUCCAUGUGUAGCGGUGAAAUGCGUAGAUAUAUGGAGGAACACCAGUGGCGAAGGCGACUCUCUGGUCUGUAACUGACGCUGAGGUUCGAAAGCGUGGGUAGCAAACAGG